GUAAGCCGAAGGGCAGCUGCCGGCCCCAAGAUACUGGUAUGGGCUGAGGAAACUCCCCCCAUCAUACAGAACCACGAUGCCGCGAGGCAUCAGCCGAGAGGCUGGGCUCUGGAGCAGAAACGACACGUCCCCCAAGUGAAUGAUAAUGAAACCCUAAAAUAAAGGGUUGACUGACACUGGAGGGAGCGGUGAAACGGCCAACCCGUGGGAUGCAAGGGCAAAUGCUGCCGAUGAACACUGUACGAGGCAGAGGUAGCCCGCCUAGAUGAAUGCUGCCCGCGAACAGAAGGGGGGUUACUCUCGGCAUGC
rnacentral:RNase_P_RNA from 1 species